UCCGUCGUAGCUCAGUUGGUAGAGCGUCGGACUCGCGAUUCGAAGACUGUGGGUUCGGAUCUCACCGACGGAA